GACGAACGCUGGCGGCGUGCUUAACACAUGCAAGUCGAACGGAAAGGCCCUGCUUUUGUGGGGUGCUCGAGUGGCGAACGGGUGAGUAACACGUGAGUAACCUGCCCUUGACUUUGGGAUAACUUCAGGAAACUGGGGCUAAUACCGGAUAGGAGCUCCUGCUGCAGGGUGGGGGUUGGAAAGUUUCGGCGGUUGGGGAUGGACUCGCGGUUUAUCAGCUUGUUGGUGGGGUAGUGGCUUACCAAGGCUUGGACGGGUAGCCGGCCUGAGAGGGUGACCGGCCACAUGGGGACUGAGAUACGGCCCAGACUCAUACGGGAGGCAGGAGUGGGGAAUAUAGCACAAUGGGCGGAAGCAUGAUGCAGCAACGCCGGGUGCGGGAGGACGGCAUUCGGGUGGGAAACCGCUUUCGCCUGUGACGAAGCGUGAGUGACGGUACUGGGGAAAGAAGCACCGCCUAACUACGG
rnacentral:rRNA from 1 species